GGCCGCGGUAUUUUAACCGUGCAAAGGUAGCAUAAUCAUUAGUCUAUUAAUUGUAGACUUGUAUGAAUGGUUUGACGUGAUAUUAACUGUCUUAUAUAUUAUUAAUUGAAUUUAAUUUUUAAGUUAAAAAGCUUAAGUUUUUUUGUAGGACGAGAAGACCCUAUAGAUCUUUAUUAAUUUUUAAUUUAUUUUAUUUAGGUGAUUUUUUUUUAAGUUUUUUAUUUAUUUGGUUGGGGUGACAUAAGGAUAAAUAUAACUCCUUAUUUUCUAUUACAUUGAUUUUUGAGUAUUUGAUCUUCUAUUAUUGUUUAUAAGAUAAAGAUACCUUAGGGAUAACAGCGUAAUUUUCUUUGAGAGUUCAUAUCGACAGGAGAGAUUGCGACCUCGAUGUUGGAUUAAGAGAGACUUUAGGUGUAGAAGUUUAAUUGGUUGGGUCUGUUCGACCUUUAAUAUCUUACAUGAUCUGAGUUCAAAACCGGAGA
rnacentral:rRNA from 1 species